rnacentral:rRNA from 1 species
AGAGUUUGAUCCUGGCUCAGGAUGAACGCUGGCGGCGUGCUUAACACAUGCAAGUCGAACGGAGUUUUAACGGAAGUUUCGGAUGGAAGUUAAAACUUAGUGGCGGACGGGUGAGUAAUGCGUGGGUAACCUGCCUCAUACAGGGGGAUAACAGUUAGAAAUGACUGCUAACACCGCAUAAUAUAGCGAAACCGCAUGAUUUUGCUAUCAAAUAUUUAUAGGUAUGAGAUGGGCCCGCGUCUGAUUAGCUAGUUGGUGGGGUAAAGCCUACCAAGGCGACGAUCAGUAGCCGGCUCGAGAGAGUGACCGGCCACAUUGGGACUGAGACACGGCCCAAACUCCUACGGGAGGCAGCAGUGGGGAAUAUUGGACAAUGGGGGAAACCCUGAUCCAGCGAACCGCCGCGUGAGUGAAGAAGUAUUUCGGUAUGUAAAGCUCUAUCAGCAGGGAAGAUAAUGACAGUACCUGACUAAGAAGCCCCGGCUAACUACGUGCCAGCAGCCGC